rnacentral:rRNA from 2 species
UGAGGAAUAUUGGACAAUGGGCGCAAGCCUGAUCCAGCCAUGCCGCGUGCAGGAAGAAGGUUCUAUGGAUCGUAAACUGCUUUUAUACGGGAAGAAAAACAACUACGUGUAGUUGACUGACUGUACCGUAAGAAUAAGGAUCGGCUAACUCCGUGCCAGCAGCCGCGGUAAUACGGAGGAUCCAAGCGUUAUCCGGAAUCAUUGGGUUUAAAGGGUCCGUAGGCGGAUUGAUAAGUCAGCGGUGAAAGUUUGUGGCUUAACCAUAAAAUUGCCGUUGAUACUGUUAGUCUUGAAUAAUUAUGAAGUAGCUAGAAUAUGUAGUGUAGCGGUGAAAUGCUUAGAUAUUACAUGGAAUACCGAUUGCGAAGGCAGGUUACUAAUAAUUUAUUGACGCUGAUGGACGAAAGCGUGGGGAGCGAACAGG